rnacentral:lncRNA from 1 species
AUGUCAGAAGUGGGCACCUCCCUGGGGACAGGAGAGAAAUCACAGCCUCACUUCUUCCUGCCCACUGCAGCCAAAGCUCAUGCUAAGGAAGAAAAGGUUCAGAACAGAAGUAUGCAGAGCAAAGAACACGGUGGGAACAGAAGAGUCACAGGUAGAUUCAUUUCUAUGUUAACUUCACUGGGCUGGAUGCCCAUGACCUCUUUUUUCUUGAGUGUCCACAUUUAUUUCCAAGCUCAGUUCAAUCAAUUUACUGCUCCUUGUGUUGAGCACUUUAUCCCCUUGAUGUCAGCGCCUUGCUGUUAACUCUACAACAUGUGCUUUGAAAGUGGGUUCAAGCGAUCUGUAUUGGUGAAAUGAGACACUUGUAUUGCCAUUUUUGUUUCACUGGUUUGUGAUUUAUUGACUUCACUACUGACGGAUAAGUUAUGGGAAUUCUCUAAACCACUGACCAAUGGCUUGUAGGAGGCCGUAUCAGGGGAAGGCUUUGCAUAUAUAUCCUUCUCUACAUAUACACAUUAAUCAGGGCAGAAGGAUGAGCAAACCUCUACUCUUAUGUAGAAGGCAGUCCCAUGAGCAGCAAACCAGCAUCUGUCAGUCACUUCAAAUGCAGCUCAUCAUACUUUAACUUUUCCCUUUGUUCUCUGCCUUUUAUCCUUCUUAUGGCUUAACAGGCCACACAAAACAGAGGCUCUUCCUGGCUUUUCAGAGCAGGCACUUAGCGGCAUCUUGUGCAGUAGCUCAAUCUUAGACGAAAGAAAUGUUCCCCCAGCCUCUGGGGAAGAAAAAAAGCAGUAACAAAUUGCAGAAGGUUUAUUUAAACAUGGCUGUUUAUUUUUAUUGGAGAUUGAGUUACCUUCCCUUAUAGGAGUAAUGUUUUGGAAUCCUCAGUUCGCCUACAAUAAAUCUCAGUUUCCAAAGAAAAGGAAUGAAGCU